rnacentral:snRNA from 2 species
AGAUGUGGGGGUGGUCUGGCUGUGAAAUCCAUAACCUCAUUGACGGCCAGGGUGUAUUUGUCUGAUCUGGCUGGCUGAGUGGGUGUCCCCUUCUUCCCUCACUGCUUUGUGAGUCCCACCCAGAGCUGUGCACUCGGUCAAAGAGAAUUAAUUCCCUGAUAGAGACGCACAUUCAUACAGUAGCUGUGCUCCCCUGCUAGAACCUCCAAGAAAGUUCUGUAAUGCUAUGAGAUAAAUCUUUACUGAAUAGAUGGAAGAGUUGAAAUUCCUCCUGAGAAAACUGAUUCAGCGCAGUCGCUUCCUGAAUU